GACGAACGCUGGCGGCGUGCUUAACACAUGCAAGUCGAACGGAAAGGCCCUGCUUUUGUGGGGUGCUCGAGUGGCGAACGGGUGAGUAACACGUGAGUAACCUGCCCUUGACUUUGGGAUAACUUCAGGAAACUGGGGCUAAUACCGGAUAGGAGCUCCUGCUGCAUGGUGGGGGUUGGAAAGUUUCGGCGGUUGGGGAUGGACUCGCGGCUUAUCAGCUUGUUGGUGGGGUAGUGGCUUACCAAGGCUUUGACGGGUAGCCGGCCUGAGAGGGUGACCGGCCACAUUGGGACUGAGAUACGGCCCAGACACCUACGGGAGGCAGCAGUGGGGAAUAUUACACAAUGGGCGGAAGCCUGAUGCAGCAACGCCGCGUGCGGGAUGACGGCCUUCGGGUUGUAAACCGCUUUCGCCUGUGACGAAGCGUGAGUGACGGUAAUGGGUAAAGAAGCACCGGCUAACUACGUG
rnacentral:rRNA from 1 species